AUGCUCCUUUUGCUCAGGCCCUUUGGAAAGGCUCAAGUUGCCAUGGCAAUCUGCAUCUCCAGGCAGCGCAGCCCACCGCAUCCCCACGGCAUUCCUGGCGAGCAGCAUGGCUCUGGGGCUUGGAAACACCUCCAGGGAUUAACUGGGCUCACUCUUUCAGAUGGUUUGUUGCUGCUCUCCCGGAUCAGCUGUGUGGAGAGGAACUGCUCCUGCUGUCCUUUUCUCUUGCCUGUACAUCCUGUCCCUGGGGAAGCUCAUUCAGCAGCACCAGCUCAGCUCUGCUGACAGCUUGCAGAUCUGCCUCUCCCCCUAAUGAAAAUUACAUCAGCUCCAACGAUUAAAUCUCUUUGGGGAUGGAAUUUUCAGAACUGGUUAUUGGCUUGGAAACAGAUUAGCAGAUAUUUGCCUGCCCAUCACCAUCCCUAGGUAUAAAUUUCUGACCCUUGCUUGAUAUCCAUGACUGGUGAGUGCUUAACAUGCAGCAUAACCCCACCUGUGACAGGAUUCAUGGCUUAAUCACCAGCACCCAGAAAUGUGGCCCAAUUCUCUUUUCAAAGAAUAUCUUGCUUGUCCUUCGUGCAUUCCAAGUGUACAGACUCCAGGAAAGGAAAAAGAGCACGUGAGGAUCCCCUACAUUUUGUCCAUGAAUUUGAACAAAUCUAAUCUCUUUCCUGUGCUAUUUCUCUUCCUAAACAAGGCUGACAUUUAUUUGCUUAAAUAUCCUUUCAGUUAACAGGUACCUGUCCAGUAUUUGAUCACAACUAUAAAUAAAAGAGGGGUAACAUAGUGCUGGUGAAUGCCA
rnacentral:lncRNA from 1 species